rnacentral:rRNA from 1 species
CAGCAGCCGCGGGAAUACGAAGGGUGCAAGCGUUACUCGGAAUUACUGGGCGUAAAGCGUGCGUAGGUGGUGGUUUAAGUCCGUUGUGAAAGCCCUGGGCUCAACCUGGGAAUUGCAGUGGAUACUGGGUCACUAGAGUGUGGUAGAGGAUAGUGGAAUUUCCGGUGUAGCAGUGAAAUGCGUAGAGAUCGGAAGGAACAUCUGUGGCGAAGGCGACUAUCUGGGCCAACACUGACACUGAGGCACGAAAGCGUGGGGAGCAAUCAGGAUUAGAUACCCGGGUAGUCCCUGUCUCUUAUAC